rnacentral:rRNA from 1 species
UACAGAGGUCUCAAGCGUUGUUCGGAUUCAUUGGGCGUAAAGGGUGCGUAGGCGGCGCGGUAAGUCGGGUGUGAAAUCUCGGGGCUUAACUCCGAAACUGCAUUCGAUACUGCCGUGCUUGAGGACUGGAGAGGAGACUGGAAUUUACGGUGUAGCGGUGAAAUGCGUAGAUAUCGUAAGGAAGACCAGUGGCGAAGGCGGGUCUCUGGACAGUUCCUGACGAUGAGGCACGAAGGUCAGGGGAGCAAACGGG